rnacentral:sRNA from 1 species
GCCGGGCACGGGAGCACACGCCUGUAAUCCCAGGAACUGGGGAGGCUAAGGCUGGAGGAUCUCAAGGUGGAGGCCAGCCUCAGCAACUUAGUGAGAUCCUGUCUCAA